rnacentral:lncRNA from 1 species
AGAGAAAAUCUGUGAUUGCAGUGAGCUUCAUAGCAGCGUUCCUCUUCCUGCUGGUUGUGCGCCUUGUAAAUGAAGCGAAUUUCCCAUUGCUACUAAACUGCUUUGGACAACCUGGUACAAAAUGGAUACCAUUCUCCUAUACGUACAGACGGCCCCUUCGCACUCACUAUGGAUACAUAAAUGUGAGGACGCAAGAGGAGUUCCUGUUGUGGCUCAGCAGGUUAAGAAUCUGACAUAGUGUCUGUGAAGAUACAGGCAAAGGAAGACACUGAGAAUGCCUUGGUCAGCAUCCUCCAGUCAAUGGUUUCAUGGAGGCUUCAUCUGUUCCAGUGGUAAAGCUCAUUGACCACACUUGCUGCAUCCACUGCAUGCUGGCCUCUGUGCUAGGCUCUGGAAUUGUAAAGAAGAAAACACUUUUUGUCUAAAAGUACAGAACAGUUUUUCAUAAUGUUAACUGGUAAUAAACGAGAUGGAGUACUAUGUGUAGAGGGUUAUUUUAACUCUUUUUUUUUUUUUUUUUUUUUUUUUUUGUCUUUUGUCUUGUUGUUGUUGUUGUUGCUAUUUCUUGGUCCGCUCCCGCGGCACAUGGAGGUUCCCAGGCUAGGGGUUGAAUCGGAGCUGUAGCCACCGGCCUACGCCAGAGCCACAGCAACGCGGGAUCCGAGCCGCGUCUGCAACCUACACCACAGCUCACGGCAACGCCGGAUCGUUAACCCACUGAGCAAGGGCAGGGACCGAACCCGAAACCUCAUGGUUCCUAGUCGGAUUCGUUAACCACUGCGCCACGACGGGAACUCCCUAUUUUAACUCUUUAAAUGUAGACACAGAAAGAAGGUUUGGAGACAGUCCCUGGAAAUAUGAACUGUAGUCUAUGAGUCUAUGUCUAGAGUCUAUGUCUGGGUGGUAAAUUUUAGAUAACCUUUUUCUUCAAGUUGUUUUCCAAUUUUUAUACAGUGAUCAGGUAUUGUACUUAUUACUAGAACAAAUUACUAGAAUCAAGUACUUUAUUUUUAUUGUUUUAGCAGUAUCUAUCUGUGAAACACUCAAGCUGUUAAUAUUAUCUAGAAAAUAGAAUUUAAAAUGUCCAGAUACAAAGUUCUGUUGUGGUGCAGGGGGAUAAGGAUCCAGCUGCAGCAGCUUGGCUUACUGCUGCGGCAUGGAUUUUAUCCAGGGCGCUGGGACUUUCACAUGCCAUGGGUGCAGUCUAAAAAAUAAUUAAAUGUCCAGUAUAAGUAUAUUGUCGGAGUACUUUUAGAAGUGAGUACUCUUGGAGUUCCUGUCAUGGCUCAGUGAUAACCAACCCUGACUAGUAUCCAUGAGGACGUGGGUUCAAUCCCCAGCUUUGCUCAGUGUAUUAAGGAUCCAGCAUUGCUCUGAGAUGUGGUGUGGGCUGGUGCAUGCAGUUAGUAUCUCAUAUUGCUAUGGCUGUGUUGUAGGCUGGCAGCUACAGCUCUGAUUUUACCCCUAGCCUGGGAACUGCUAUAAGCGGGUUCAGCCCUUAAAACAAACAACUAUACAAGCAAAAAGACAAAAAUAAAAGGGCAAAAAUAAACCAGUGGGACCUAAUCAAAACUGUCAAGCUUUUGCACAGCAAAGGAAACCAUAAAAAAACCAAAAAGACAACCUAUGGAAUGGGAGAAAAUAGUUUCAAACGAAGCACCACUAAUUAUUAGAGAAAUACAAAUCAAAACUGCUUGAGGUACAACCUCACACUGGUCAGAAUGGCCAUCAUUAAUAAGUCAACAAAUAACAAAUGCUGGAGAGAAUGUGGAGAAAAGGAUACCCUCCUACACUGUUGGGAAUGUAAAUUGGUGCAAGCACUAUGGAAAACAGUAUGGAGGUACUCAGAAAACUAAGUAUAGAACUACCAUGUGACCCAGCAAUCCCACUCUUGGGCAUAUAUCUGUGUAAAACUUUCCUUGAAAAAGACAUAUGCACCUGUAUGUUCAUUGCAUCACUGUUCACAAUAGGCAAGACAUGGAAACAACCUAAAUGUCCAUCGACGGAUGAAUGGAUUAAGAACAUGUAGUAUAUAUACGCAAUAUAAUACUACUCGGCCAUAAAAAAGAACAAAAUAAUGCCAUAUGCAGCAACAUGGAUGGAACUAGAGACUCUCAUCCUGAAUGAAGUAAGUCAGAAAGAGAAAGCCAAAUGCCAUAUGACAUCACUUAUAUCUGGAAUCUAAUAUAUGGCACAAGUAAACCUUUCCACAGAAGAGAAACGUGUGGACUUGGAGAAGAGAUUUGUGGUUGCCAAGGCGGAGGGGGAGGGAGUGGAAUGAACUGGGAGUCUGGGGUUUAUAGAUGCAUUCUAUUGUAUUUGGAGUGGAUAAGCAAUGAGAUCCUGCUGUAUAGCACAGGGAACUAUAUCUAAUCACUUGUGAUGGAACAUGAUCGAUGCUAAUAUGAGAAAAAGAAUGUAUAUAGGUGUGUGUGUGUGACUGGGUCACUUUGCUGUACAGUAUAAAAUUGACAGAACACUGUAAACCAAUUAUAAUCAAAAAAUAAAAAUCAUUGAAAUUAAAAAAUAAUUUAAAAAAAAGAAA